AGACAGUCCAGUCCUGCAAACUCCUAUAUAAGUUGUAAUGUCCCAGGCUAAAAGUUAAGCACACAUGUAGCGUUUGUAGGAUUAGUACCCAGGAGACCUUGUAGGGAAAGGUAAGUGCAGAAAGAAGCAGAAAAGGUAGAAGGAGACAAAAGAAACUUCAAGACAGGUGCCAGAUUUAAAAGAACAGCUGAAGCUCAGGCACUGAGAAAGAAAGCUAAUGGCAGGAGUCUUACUGUGGACAAGGCUCCUGAAGACACUGAAUUAUUAGCACCUUGUCAUUUAAACCUGUACAAUCAUAUCCAGGAGUUUUAUCUGCACUUAACCUCUUUAUGGUUAAGGGCACUGGUGCUAGUUAGCUAGAGCAGAAAUCUUUGUCCAGAAAUCCUGCUAGUACAGACAAGACUUUAGUAUAAAGUCACUUGUGAGAAUGGUGUUCAAACUGCAGCAGAGGUAGCAUGCUACUACCUACUGCCAGGGAUCACUGAACUCCCAUGAAAUUAAUGUUGCAGCACUUCCUCCUCCUCUGAAACAGUGCUAGGGAAAAAAACUGCAAUCCAGGGCUUCCAAUCAGCACUGCUUCCAGCAAAUCCCAGACACAGGCAGAGACAUGGGCCUCCACCCAUUUCGUAAGGAGGAGGUGGAUUUAAAUAAGUCAGAAAGAGGAAUUUCUCUGGCAGUGAUACGCAGCCACAAGGGCAAGAACUGGAAUUUACUUAGCAGCGUGCGAGAGAGAGAGAGAGAGAGAGAGAGAGAGAGAGAGUGUGUGUGUGUGUGUGUGCGUGCGCGCGCGCACGUGUAAAGCAAGCAAUGGAGUUCAGGCUAAUACAAAGCACAGCUCAUUCUCGCCUGUGAUUGACUAUAGCAGUCAGUAGGCAGGCUCCUUUUCUCCUCCUCCUUCUUUAUGUGUUCUCCUUCUUGCAUCAGGAAAGGGGCUCCACAAAAUGAGCCAGCAGCAGUGCUUAGAGUAAGGAGCCUCCUCCGCGGGUCCUGCUGCUGUCACUGCUACUGGUUCCACUGCUUCUGCCCGUCACCACUACAGCUGCAAGGAGGGAGUCUCAGGGAGGGAUAUCAUGACGCACCCUAUUGGUAUACAUCUCUCUGCUCCCACAGAUCCCUGCACUCAUGCAAAAAUCCAGCGAGGAAAAUGGG
rnacentral:lncRNA from 1 species